AUGUGUAAAGGAUCAUGCUAUAGGCUGAUCACCGUGGAUACGUUUUCUGAUCUAAUCCUCGCAGCCUGCAAAGUGUUAUGAUUCUCAUUUUAUUGGCCAAACUUAUUUUAUUGACUUACCCAAGAUCACACCGUUAGUAGGGGCACGAACAGGACUUUAACCUCAUCUCCUCCGACUAUGGAACUCAAGUGCUGAAUUACAGUGCUUUCCCCGGGGGAAUGCUUUUGCUGCGGCUAUUCCCUGAACUCUGGAGAGGCAUCCCCUAUUGCCCACGCUCUUACAGAGGCUAAUGCUUACAAAUCCAAUAGUGUCCUCUAAGUCAGAGCUUUGCUGGGUGCAUCAAGGUACCCCAGCCUGAGCCUAGUACAGGGAAAGGGCAAUGGGCUGACCCUAGCCGCACUGGGCUCUGUGCCAGGCAUGGACAUGGACAGCUGUGUGACUCUGGGCAAUUGCUUGACCUCUCUGAACUUCAGCAUCCUCUCCUCAGGAUGACAGUAACUCUGCUGUGGCUCAGAGGGGGAUUGUGAUAAUCAAGACAGAAUGAUGUUUGUGGACAGUGGACAUAUCCCCGACCAUUUACUGAGCCCAGCCAUAUGCCAGGCCAGGAGCUAAGCUGGGAAGCUGUUAACACAAGGAUGUUGGCAGAGCCAGUGCUGAGAAGGUUUUCUGGGUAAGUGGCCGGGCUUGGCCCCCUUAGCCUUCCUGCCCCAUCUUUCUUCUCUCCCUGAACAUCAGGGCAUCCGGGCAAGGGACCAGCUGCAUCGGCACCUGGAGGGGGCCAUUUCUGAGAAGCUUCACGAGGACAAGGCUGCAGAGCCGGGUGAUGCCCUCGACCUAAUCAUUCACAGUGCAAGGGAGCUGGGCCAUGAGCCCUCCAUGCAGGAGCUGAAGGCACUAAAGCAAUCUUCAACCGAACUCCUCUUUGGAGGACACGAAACCACGGCCAGUGCAGCCACAUCUCUGAUCACUUACCUGGGGCUCUACCCACAUGUUCUCCAGAAAGUGCGAGAAGAGCUGAAGAGUAAGGGUUUACUUUGCAAGAGCAAUCAAGACAACAAGUUGGACAUGGAAAUUUUGGAACAACUUAAAUACAUCGGGUGUGUUAUUAAGGAGACCCUUCGACUGAAUCCCCCAGUUCCAGGAGGGUUUCGGGUUGCUCUGAAGACUUUUGAAUUAAAUGGAUACCAGAUUCCCAAGGGCUGGAAUGUUAUCUACAGUAUCUGUGAUACUCAUGAUGUGGCAGAGAUCUUCACCAACAAGGAAGAAUUUAAUCCUGACCGAUUCAUGCUGCCUCACCCAGAGGAUGCAUCCAGGUUCAGCUUCAUUCCAUUUGGAGGAGGCCUUAGGAGCUGUGUAGGCAAAGAAUUUGCAAAAAUUCUUCUCAAAAUAUUUACAGUGGAGCUGGCCAGGCAUUGUGACUGGCAGCUUCUAAAUGGACCUCCUACAAUGAAAACCAGUCCCACCGUGUAUCCUGUGGACAAUCUCCCUGCAAGAUUCACCCAUUUCCAUGGGGAAAUCUGAUGAGCUUGAAUGUUCAAACCUGAGACUUAUUGGAAGUGUACAUAUGAGUUUUUAAGGAGUGUUGUGUUGACUUUAUAUUUAAUUUCUAAAUGUAUAUUAUAAUAUUUAUGUGUUUUGACU
ensembl:lncRNA novel transcript